GUGAAACCUGUGCUAUCACGAGUGUUCUUCCACGCUUCAAUUGCCACCUUUCCAGGAUCAUCUGUCAAUGCAUCUAGCACAUCUUCAUAUCCAUCUAUGCCAGCUGCAAUAUGAAGAGGUGUCAAACCUCCAGGCCCUACACAGUCGGGUCUAAACAAGAAUUGCCCACCGACCCCAACCAGAGAUUGAUAUUCAGAACAUAGAUCAUCUGCUACAUUUGUGGGGGUAUAUGUUAAAAGCAAUUCCACCAAAGGCCUAGAAUUCCUACGCACAGCUUUAUGCAGAAGCCCCAUCUCAGUGAGAGCAUAUUUCAAGGAAGAAUCGUCUCCACCCACAGUUCCAUCAAGGAGAAUGUUCAAUAGUUUCUUAACUACUGCACACCACUCAUGGUCUACGGAGAACUCCACAAGCCACUUGAACCGCUUCAAAGGAUGGAGAACAGCAUUAGGACCAAAAUGCUCUAAUCUAGCCCUCAAAUUAUUUCUAUGAAGCAACCAACCAAGUUCAUGAAUAAAAUCCAUGGCUUGAUUUCUUGCUUCAAUAUUAUUUGUCUGCCCCUUGACAUAAUCCAAUGAAGUCAACUCUAGAUCACUCUCAAGCAUACGGAUUUCAGAGCAAACAUCCUCCUCUGCAAUUAUAAAUGGGAAGAAGCUAUUGCUGACUCCAUGAUCUUCAACCUCAAUAAAUCCUCUUCCACCGACUGCUGGAAUAGAACAUGUGAAAUUUAGGGAUUGGAGCUUAUCAUCCUUGUCACCACCAGCAACUUGUUCUUCUACCUCAUUAUCUGCUUCUGGAUCCAGGUAGUUACCUUCUAAAGAACAAAGUAAUCUCGUGGAUGGCUUAGUUAAAUUGUAGCCUUUGACUAAAAAUUGAACUCUGUCAGAUACCGGCACAGCUAUGGGUCUGACACUUAAUAGUGUACUGCCGUCAUUACUAACACAAGGCAAUGACAUAUCCAACAGAACCUGCCCAUCACACACAAAUGCAAUUUGGUUCUGCACCCUAAUGUAAAUCCAUCCCUUUGUCCAGAAGCUAUCACCACCAUGGACAUCCAAAAGCCUACUCAAACUGGAGCUUAGAUCAUAAGAAAGCUCCUCCCAUGCAGACUCAGGAAGCCGCAGAUAUAUUGUCAACACAACGCAACCAGGUCUAAUGUAGCUCUCAAUUUCCGUUGGACUGUGAGAUAGCCAGUCAAGAAUCUGAGCUCGUACGACAAAUGGAAAAUCACUAGGACCUUUCCCAAAUAGUUUAAAAACAAUCCGAUCUGUACGGUUCUGAUUGUCACCACUGGAACUGGAAGGUGACUGGGCAGAGGCAGAAUCUGAAUUUCCACUUGUUUGAGGUGGACUCGACUGGUGAGAGUCCUGUUGUAACCAAGAUGGGCACUCAGGCACAGGGGAUCUAUCUAUAUCGUCUCCACAAUCAUCUGAAUCAACAUACGCAUCAUUCAAAUCGAAGUCAAUCAACUUGCUCCUGCCAGUGGUACUUUCCCUGCCUGGUGUGUAAGCUUGAGAAUUGCUUUGAAUGGGAAACAAAAUGCCUGGACUUUGAGAAGAAGCAGUCCGCGCAUCUUCUAGCCUUUUCUGGGGCAUCUCAGCUGCCGAAUUAGUGAACUGACGCUCUUUGGGUCUAGGAGGUGCCUGUGAACCAUUUGAGAUCAAGGAAGCUAUUUCAGGAUUUCGAAGAAUCGACCUGUUGUUCAGCAAGUUUGAAGAUUCUUGUAGAAGUCCAGAUAAGCUUUUAUCCCCAUUUGUGGGACCCUGGCUGGCAAGGCUUCUUAGUAGAUGAGAUAAAAGGUCCUGAUCUUCAGUGUGGUUUGCUCCAUUUGAGUGCAUGUUGGAGAGUAUCUUUAGCAGGCUCAUCAAGGAAUAACCACUAGUCUGGCCAUCAUUCAACGAAUUAUUGUUAGCUACAGUUUCUGAUUGUGUCUUCCUUCUCCUUUUAUUAUGUCCUGCUAGGCGUCUACGACAACUUCGUUUUCCUUCAUCAAACUCUUGAAGAGCAUGAAACCUGCUGCACUGCUGGCAGAAGCGCUGCAUAACAUUCCCAACGAGUGCUCUACUAGCCUUGGAGUGCAUCUCACAAACCUUAUGCCGCCUAUGGUAGUCUUUAGCCUUACUGAGAUCCGUUCCACAAUCAUCAACCUGACAUACAGCUCUGGCAGCAGCAGGUGCAGCUAAUUUAGUCCUUUUUCCGGCGGCUCCAUCCCAGUUACUCAUUUCCCUGCCGGCGUCGGCAGCUGGCUCACCUUGUCCACCAAGCUUCAGCGAAAGAGGGCCAGAAUCAUCUUCAUCGACCACAAUAACCCUCCUCCUUUUCUCCAAUUCCCUCCUCUGUUGCUCCAUCCCAUGAUUUACUUCAUCUGAACAAGAAGAUGAACUGUUGGAUGAAGCCAGAUUUCCAGUUUCAACGGGGAAAAACUGUCUACUCUGGUAAUUAGAUGGGUUUUGCUGAAGAGGGGUCGCAAUAAAAAGAUCUCCAUCCCAUUUCCAGUCCGUCAGAUCCCACUCCAAGCUCCUCUUCCCUAAUCCCCGCAGAUCCGUUCCUCCCAUAUGAUAAAAACGCUCUCCCACACUCGCUUCCAUUUAAGUACUAUGUGUAUAUGUGUAUUAAGAUCCAAAUCCAAAGACGUCUCUCAGCAAGAAGAAGAAGAAAAAAAAAGAUUCCGAUCGGACAAGUGUUAGCUACAGAUCAGAAGUCAAUAAUUGAGGAAACCGAUGUGAAAAGAGAAAAAGAAGAAAGAUGAGCACUAAUCAGCUUCUGUACGGCCCCAAAAGUAGAGAAAGAGUACAAAGAGAAAACCAUGAUACCAAUUAACAGGAAGCCACAUACCCACCUCGCUAAAUCUCAGCGUUGACUCAUGAAUUACUGGAAAAAUGAAGAAACAAGAAGCAUCUAGAUUCUAGACCGAGAAUUUAGCUCAAGAAGAAGAAACACUAGCCAAAAGGGGGUAUACAACAACUAACAGAAAUAACUUUCCGGUAUUCAAGAAACAAACAGCAACGCCGCCGAUUCACCGACGGUGAAGAAGAAGGAAGAAAGGAGAAAGGUGGGUGGUUGGGGGGC
rnacentral:misc_RNA from 1 species